rnacentral:rRNA from 1 species
UGGGGAAUAUUGCACAAUGGGGGGAACCCUGAUGCAGCGACGCCGCGUGAGGGAAGAAGGUUUUCGGAUUGUAAACCUCUGUCCUUGGUGACGAUAAUGACGGUAGCCAAGGAGGAAGCCACGGCUAACUACGUGCCAGCAGCCGCGGUAAUACGUAGGUGGCAAGCGUUGUCCGGAAUUACUGGGUGUAAAGGGAGCGUAGGCGGGAAGACAAGUUGGGAGUGAAAUGUAUGGGCUUAACCCAUAAACUGCUUUCAAAACUGUUUUUCUUGAGUGAAGUAGAGGCAGGCGGAAUUCCUAGUGUAGCGGUGAAAUGCGUAAAUAUUAGGAGGAACACCAGUGGCGAAGGCGGCCUGCUGGGCUUUAACUGACGCUGAGGCUCGAAAGCGUGGGUAGCAAACA